rnacentral:rRNA from 1 species
UACGGAGGAUCCGAGCGUUAUCCGGAUUUAUUGGGUUUAAAGGGUGCGCAGGCGGGAGAUUAAGUCGGCGGUGAAAUUUUGCAGUUCAACUGUAAAAGUGCCUUCGAAACUGGUUUCCUUGAGUGUAGAUGAAGUAGGCGGAAUUUGUGGUGUAGCUGUGAAAUGCUUAGAGAUCACACAGAAUAUCGAUUGCGAAGGCAGCUCACAAAGCCAAGAUUGACGCUGAGGCACGAAAGUGUGGGGAUCAAACAGGAUUAGAUACCCGU